rnacentral:rRNA from 1 species
AUUGAACGCUGGCGGAAUGCUUUACACAUGCAAGUCGAACGGUAGAGGGGGCAACCCCUCGAGAGUGGCGAACGGGUGAGUAAUAUAUCGGAACGUGCCCAGUCGUGGGGGAUAACGUAGCGAAAGUUACGCUAAUACCGCAUACGAUCUAAGGAUGAAAGCGGGGGAUCGCAAGACCUCGCGCGAUUGGAGCGGCCGAUAUCAGAUUAGGUAGUUGGUGGGGUAAAGGCUCACCAAGCCAACGAUCGGUAGCUGGGCUGAGAGGACGACCUGCAAAACUGGAAAUGAGACAAGGUCCAGAUUCCUACGGGAGGCAGCAGUGGGGAAUUUUGGACAAUGGACGCAAGUCUGAUCCAGCCAUUCCGCGUGCAGGAUGAAGGCCCUCGGGUUGUAAACUGCUUUUAUACGGAACGAAAAGGUCUCUCUUAAUACGGGGGACUCAUGACGGUACCGUAAGAAUAAGCACCGGCUAACUACGUGCCAGCCGCCGCAGUAA